rnacentral:tRNA from 3 species
GCCCUGGUAUUCCAAUUGGCAGAGAAUGCGGAUUCAAAACCCGUACAGUGUGGGUUCGAGUCCCACCCAGGGCA